UGCAAUUUAGAAAAAGGCAGCCCACCGA
rnacentral:piRNA from 1 species